CUAUAACUGACAGGAACACUGGUCUUGGAACAUGAAGAUACUUGCUUCGACAGGCAAUUCAAGCAUUAGGCAAUAAAACCCUGAAUCAUUGGUCAUCCGGGGAUGGAGCAACAGCAGGUGCUGGGGAAGACAUAUUUGCUUCUAUCUUUGCACAGACUUGAUGCAGGUACACAUGUAAGGGCGGGUCGAAUAUUCCAAAAGGAACAACAGGGCGAGUCUGCGUUUUGGAAUCCUGCAAAGCAAACGUAGUUACGAUAUAAAUAACUCUCAGCAGUCAGCAGACAAGCUAGAGCAAUUAUUAAUUUUCUGUUAAUGCAUGAUAUGUAGCCAAUUCUUCAGAAAGUAACAUACACAAUGUGUGAAAUCCUAAGUUCAUUC